rnacentral:rRNA from 1 species
GCAUAUCAUAAGCGGAGGAAAAGAAACCAACAGGGAUUGCCCCAGUAACGGCGAGUGAAGCGGCAACAGCUCAAAUUUGAAAUCUGGCCUCCGGGUCCGAGUUGUAAUUUGUAGAGGAUGCUUUUGGCGAGGUGCCUUCCGAGUUUCCCUGGAACGGGACGCCAUAGAGGGUGAGAGCCCCGUCUGGUCGGACACCGAGCCUCUGUAAAGCUCCUUCGACGAGUCGAGUAGUUUGGGAAUGCUGCUCAAAAUGGGAGGUAUAUGUCUUCUAAAGCUAAAUAUUGGCCAGAGACCGAUAGCGCACAAGUAGAGUGAUCGAAAGAUGAAAAGCACUUUGAAAAGAGGGUUAAAAAGUACGUGAAAUUGUUGAAAGGGAAGCGCCUAUGACCAGACUUGGGCCCGGUGAAUCAUCCAGCGUUCUCGCUGGUGCACUUUGCCGGGCACAGGCCAGCAUCAGUUUGGCGCGGGGGAAAAAGGUUUUGGGAAUGUGGCUCCCUCGGGAGUGUUAUAGCCCAUUGCGUAAUACCCUGCGCCGGACUGAGGUACGCGCAUCGCAAGGAUGCUGGCGUAAUGGUCAUCAGCGACCCGUCUUGAAACACGGACCAAGGAGUCGUCUUCGUAUGCGAGUGUUCGGGUGUCAAACCCCUACGCGUAAUGAAAGUGAACGCAGGUGAGAGCUUCGGCGCAUCAUCGACCGAUCCUGAUGUUCUCGGAUGGAUUUGAGUAAGAGCAUACGGGGCCGGACCCGAAAGAAGGUGAACUAUGCCUGUAUAGGGUGAAGCCAGAGGAAACUCUGGUGGAGGCUCGCAGCGGUUCUGACGUGCGAAUCGAUCGUCAAAUAUGGGCAUGGGGCGAAAGACUAAUCGRACCCUUCUAGUAGCUGGGUUUCCCGCCG